GUGGGGAAUCUUAGACAAUGGGCGCAAGCCUGAUCUAGCCAUGCCGCGUGAGCGAUGAAGGCCUUAGGGUUGUAAAGCUCUUUCGCUGGGGAAGAUAAUGACUGUACCCAGUAAAGAAGCCCCGGCUAACUCCGUGCCAGCAGCCGCGGUAAUACGGAGGGGGCUAGCGUUGUUCGGAAUUACUGGGCGUAAAGCGCGCGUAGGCGGAUUGGAAAGUUGGGGGUGAAAUCCCGGGGCUCAACCCCGGAACUGCCUUCAAAACUCCCAGUCUUGAGUUCGAGAGAGGUGAGUGGAAUUCCGAGUGUAGAGGUGAAAUUCGUAGAUAUUCGGAGGAACACCAGUGGCGAAGGCGGCUCACUGGCUCGAUACUGACGCUGAGGUGCGAAAGCGUGGGGAGCAAACAGGAUUAGAAACCCUAGUAGUCC
rnacentral:rRNA from 1 species